rnacentral:rRNA from 1 species
UACAGAGGUCCCAAGCGUUGUUCGGAUUCACUGGGCGUAAAGGGUGCGUAGGCGGUCGGGUAAGUCUGAUGUGAAAUCUCACAGCUUAACUGUGAAACUGCAUUGGAUACUAUCCGGCUCGAGGAAUGGAGGGGAGACUGGAAUACUUGGUGUAGCAGUGAAAUGCGUAGAUAUCGAGAGGAACACCAGUGGCGAAGGCGAGUCCCUGGACGACUCCUGACACUGAGGCACGAAAGCUAGGGGAGCAAACAGG